rnacentral:sRNA from 1 species
AGAUGCUGCCAGGGUCCCUGAAGAGGGAAGACACGCGGAAACAGCACCCUGAAACCCUCUACGCCUGGGAGGGGGCCUGCGUCUGGAUCCCCUGCACCUACAGAGCCCUAGAUGGUGCCCUGGAAAGCUUCAUCCUGUUCCACAAUCCUGAGUAUAACAAGAACACCUCGAAGUUUGACGGGACCAGACUCUAUGAAAGCACAAAGGAUGGGGAGGUUCCUUCUGAGCAGAAAAGGGUGCAAUUCCUGGGAGACAAGAGUAAGAACUGCACACUGAGUAUCCACCCGGUGCACGUCAAUGACAGUGGUCAGCUGGGGCUGAGAAUGGAGUCCAAGACUGAGAAAUGGAUGGAACGAAUACACCUCAAUGUCUCUGAAAGGCCUUUUCCACCUCAUAUCCAGCUCCCUCCAGAAAUUCAAGAGUCCCAGGAAGUCACUCUGACCUGCUUGCUGAAUUUCUCCUGCUAUGGGUAUCCGAUCCAAUUGCAGUGGUUCCUAGAGGGGGUUCCAGUGGGGCAGGCUGCUGUCAACUCGACCUCCUUGGCCACCAAGUCUGUCUU